UGGGGAAUUUUGGACAAUGGGGGCAACCCUGAUCCAGCCAUGCCGCGUGAGUGAAGAAGGCCUUCGGGUUGUAAAGCUCUUUCGGUCGGGAAGAAAUUGUGUGGGCUAAUACCCUGCAUAGAUGACGGUACCGGCAUAAGAAGCACCGGCUAACUACGUGCCAGCAGCCGCGGUAAUACGUAGGGUGCGAGCGUUAAUCGGAAUUACUGGGCGUAAAGCGUGCGCAGGCGGUUUUUUAAGACAGGCGUGAAAUCCCCGGGCUUAACCUGGGAACUGCGCUUGUGACUGGAAGGCUAGAGUAUGGAAGAGGGGGGUGGAAUUCCACGUGUAGCAGUGAAAUGCGUAGAGAUGUGGAGGAACACCGAUGGCGAAGGCAGCCCCCUGGGCCAAUACUGACGCUCAUGCACGAAAGCGUGGGGAGCAAACAGG
rnacentral:rRNA from 1 species